AGAAGUUUUUUUAUUCUGCUCAGGAUGAACGCUGGCGGCGUGCCUAAUACAUGCAAGUCGAGCGAACGGAUAAGGAGCUUGCUCCUUUGAAGUUAGCGGCGGACGGGUGAGUAACACGUGGGUAACCUACCUAUAAGACUGGGAUAACUUCGGGAAACCGGAGCUAAUGCCGGAUAACAUUUGGAACCGCAUGGUUCUAAAGUAAAAGAUGGUUUUGCUAUCACUUAUAGAUGGACCCGCGCCGUAUUAGCUAGUUGGUAAGGUAACGGCUUACCAAGGCAACGAUACGUAGCCGACCUGAGAGGGUGAUCGGCCACACUGGAACUGAGACACGGUCCAGACUCCUACGGGAGGCAGCAGUAGGGAAUCUUCCGCAAUGGACGAAAGUCUGACGGAGCAACGCCGCGUGAGUGAUGAAGGUUUUCGGAUCGUAAAACUCUGUUAUUAGGGAAGAACAAAUGUGUAAGUAACUGUGCACAUCUUGACGGUACCUAAUCAGAAAGCCACGGCUAACUACGUGCCAGCAGCCGCGGUAAUACGUAGGUGGCAAGCGUUAUCCGGAAUUAUUGGGCGUAAAGCGCGCGUAGGCGGUUUCUUAAGUCUGAUGUGAAAGCCCACGGCUCAACCGUGGAGGGUCAUUGGAAACUGGGAAACUUGAGUACAGAAGAGGAAAGUGGAAUUCCAUGUGUAGCGGUGAAAUGCGCAGAGAUAUGGAGGAACACCAGUGGCGAAGGCGACUUUCUGGUCUGUAACUGACGCUGAUGUGCGAAAGCGUGGGGAUCAAACAGGAUUAGAUACCCUGGUAGUCCACGCCGUAAACGAUGAGUGCUAAGUGUUAGGGGGUUUCCGCCCCUUAGUGCUGCAGCUAACGCAUUAAGCACCCGCCGGGAGGUA
rnacentral:rRNA from 1 species